UACGUAGGGGGGCAAGCGUUGUCCGGAUUUAUUGGGCGUAAAGAGCGUGUAGGCGGUUUGGUAGGUCCGUUGUGAAAACUCGAGGCUCAACCUCGAGACGCCGAUGGAAACCAUCAGACUAGAGUCCGGAAGAGGAGAGUGGAAUUCCUGGUGUAGCGGUGAAAUGCGCAGAUAUCAGGAAGAACACCCGUGGCGAAAGCGGCUCUCUGGAACGGUACUGACGCUGAGACGCGAAAGCGUGGGGAGCGAACAGG
rnacentral:rRNA from 1 species